GAUGAACGCUAGCUACAGGCUUAACACAUGCAAGUCGCGGGGCAGCAUGGGGGUUGCUUGCAAUCCCCGAUGGCGACCGGCGCACGGGUGAGUAACGCGUAUCCAACCUGCCCUUCACCACGGGAUAACCCGGCGAAAGUCGGACUAAUACCGUAUGUUGUCCAUUGACGGCAUCCGAUUUGGACGAAAGGUUUGGCGGUGAAGGAUGGGGAUGCGUCCGAUUAGCUGGACGGCGGGGGGACGGCCCACCGUGGCGACGAUCGGUAGGGGUUCUGAGAGGAAGGUCCCCCACACUGGAACUGAGACACGGUCCAGACUCCUACGGGAGGCAGCAGUGAGGAAUAUUGGUCAAUGGGCGUAAGCCUGAACCAGCUAAGUAGCGUGCAGGAUGACGGCCCUAUGGGUUGUAAACUGCUUUUAUGCGGGGAUAAAGUGGCCCACGUGUGGGUUUUUGCAGGUACCGCAUGAAUAAGGACCGGCUAAUUCCGUG
rnacentral:rRNA from 1 species